AUUGAACGCUGGCGGCAUGCCUUACACAUGCAAGUCGAACGGUAACAGGUCUUCGGAUGCUGACGAGUGGCGCACGGGUGAGUAAUACAUCGGAACGUGCCCGAUCGUGGGGGAUAACGAGGCGAAAGCUUUGCUAAUACCGCAUACGAUCUACGGAUGAAAGCGGGGGAUCUUCGGACCUCGCGCGGCCGGAGCGGCCGAUGGCAGAGUAGGUAGUUGGUGGGAUAAAAGCUUACCAAGCCGACGAUCUGUAGCUGGUCUGAGAGGAUGAUCAGCCACACGGGGACUGAGACACGGCCCAGACUCCUGCGGGAGGCAGCAGUGGGGAAUUUUGGACAAUGGGCGAAAGCCUGAUCCAGCCAUGCCGCGUGCAGGAUGAAGGCCUUCGGGUUGUAAACUGCUUUUGUACGGAACGAAAAGCCUCUUUCUAAUAAAGAGGGGUCAUGACGGUACCGGAAGAAUAAGCACCGGCUAACUACGUG
rnacentral:rRNA from 1 species